rnacentral:rRNA from 1 species
GACGAACGCUGGCGGCGUGCUUAACACAUGCAAGUCGAACGGAAAGGCCCUGCUUUUGUGGGGUGCUCGAGUGGCGAACGGGUGAGUAACACGUGAGUAACCUGCCCUUGACUUUGGGAUAGCUUCAGGAAACUGGGGCUAAUACCGGAUAGGAGCUCCUGCUGCAUGGUGGGGGUUGGAAAGUUUCGGCGGUUGGGGAUGGACUCGCGGCUUAUCAGCUUGUUGGUGGGGUAGUGGCUUACCAAGGCUUUGACGGGUAGCCGGCCUGAGAGGGUGACCGGCCACAUUGGGACUGAGAUACGGCCCAGACUCCUACGGGAGGCAGCAGAGGGGAAUAUUGCACAAUGGGCGGAAGCCUGAUGCAGCAACGCCGCGUGCGGGAUGACGGCCUUCGGGUUGUAAACCGCUUUCGCCUGUGACGAAGCGUGAGUGACGGUAAUGGGUAAAGAAGCACCGGCUAACUACGUG